UUCAGCUUCAGUUGCCACUUUCCCGCUCACAGCUCUCAAACUUUUCCGCAGUUUUGCUUUGCAACCUAAGUUUUGUGAAAAAGCAGCAAUUUAUGGAUUAUGAUGAGCAUCAUGGAGUUCCUCCUCCACCACCACCAGUAGUAGUCAGGCGGGAAGGGUCAGGCCCCGCCUGACUACACCAGUAGUUAAGUUAAGUUGGAGGGCCUCCGCCACCACCUCCCGCCGGAGGCCCGCCACCACCACCACCACCAGAUGAUGGUCUUCCUCCACCACCUCCAGUAGCUGGAGGUCCUCCACUGAUGGCUGGAAGUCCACCACCAGUGGAUGGAGGUCCUCUGCCACUUCGCCCUGCUGCUCCAGCACUUCAUCCAGCUGGAGGCCAUCUUGAUGUUGCUGCUCUGCAAAGGCAGUUCAUCAUAUGGCAGUUACGCCAAAUCAAUCGAGAAAUUUACAACAAUCUUCCGAGAGCCAGACCAAGAGGCAGGGGCAGGGGCAGGAGGAACAGUAACAAUAAUGCAACAAAGAACUAUAACUUUUAUUAGAU